GAAAUGCGAUAAGUAAUGUGAAUUGCAGAAUUCAGUGAAUCAUCGAAUCUUUGAACGCACCUUGCGCUCCUUGGUAUUCCGAGGAGCAUGCCUGUUUGAGUGUCAUUAAAUUCUCAACCCUCCAGCUUUUGCGAGUUGUGAUGGGCUUGGAUAUGGGGGUUUGCGGGCCUUUAUUAAGAGGUCGGCUCUCCUGAAAUACAUUAGCGGAACCGUUUGCAGUCCCGUCACUAGUGUGAUAAUUAUCUACACUGUGAUGAUUGCUCUCUGACUAGUUCAGCUGCUAAUAGUCCCUUGUUGGACAACAUUAAUGAACUUCUUGACCUCAAAUCAGGUAGGACUACCCGCUGAACUUAA
rnacentral:misc_RNA from 2 species